UAAACUACGAUUAGAUACCCUAUUAUUUUGGAUGUAAAGAGUUGAUACUAGAGUAGUAUAAGUUAUGAUCUUGAAACUCAAAGAAUUUGGCGGUGUUUUAGUCCUUUCAGAGGAACCUGCCCCGUAAUCGAUAUUCCACGUUAGACCUUACUUAAUUUUGUUAAAUCAGUCUGUAUAUCGCCGUCGUCAGAAUGUCCUAGAAGGGUUAGAAUUUUCUUUAUUUUUAAUAAUAAAAGGAUGUCAGGUCAAGGUGCAGUUUAUAGUUAAGUGGAGGUGGGUUACAAUAAAUUUAUUUAUUACGGAUAAUUAUUUGAAAAUUAAUAAUUUGAAGGUGGAUUUGAAUGUAAUUUUGUAUAGUAUAAUAUAUUGAUUUAUGGCUCUAAAACAUGCACACAUCGCCCGUCGCUCUUA
rnacentral:rRNA from 1 species